rnacentral:rRNA from 1 species
AGAGUUUGAUCAUGGCUCAGGAUGAACGCUAGCUACAGGCUUAACACAUGCAAGUCGAGGGGAAACGAUAUUGGAAGCUUGCUUCCGAUAGGCGUCGACCGGCGCACGGGUGAGUAACGCGUAUCCAACCUGCCCACCACUUGGGGAUAACCUUGCGAAAGUAAGACUAAUACCCAAUGAUAUCUCUAGAAGGCAUCUGAAAGAGAUUAAAGAUUUAUCGGUGAUGGAUGGGGAUGCGUCUGAUUAGCUUGUUGGCGGGGUAACGGCCCACCAAGGCAACGAUCAGUAGGGGUUCUGAGAGGAAGGUCCCCCACAUUGGAACUGAGACACGGUCCAAACUCCUACGGGAGGCAGCAGUGAGGAAUAUUGGUCAAUGGACGAGAGUCUGAACCAGCCAAGUAGCGUGCAGGAAGACGGCCCUAUGGGUUGUAAACUGCUUUUAUAAGGGAAUAAAGUGAGAGUCGUGACUCUUUUUGCAUGUACCUUAUGAAUAAGGACCGGCUAAUUCCGUGCCAGCAGCCGCGGUAAUACGGAAGGUCCGGGCGUUAUCCGGAUUUAUUGGGUUUAAAGGGAGCGUAGGCCGGAGAUUAAGCGUGUUGUGAAAUGUAGACGCUCAACGUCUGCACUGCAGCGCGAACUGGUUUCCUUGAGUAUGCACAAAGUGGGCGGAAUUCGUGGUGUAGCGGUGAAAUGCUUAGAUAUCACGAAGAACUCCGAUUGCGAAGGCAGCUCACUGGAGCGCAACUGACGCUGAAGCUCGAAAGUGCGGGUAUCGAACAGGAUUAGAUACCCUGGUAGUCCGCACGGUAAACGAUGGAUGCCCGCUGUUGGUCUGAAUAGGUCAGCGGCCAAGCGAAAGCAUUAAGCAUCCCACCUGGGGAGUACGCCGGCAACGGUGAAACUCAAAGGAAUUGACGGGGGCCCGCACAAGCGGAGGAACAUGUGGUUUAAUUCGAUGAUACGCGAGGAACCUUACCCGGGCUUGAAUUGCAGAGGAAGGAUUUGGAGACAAUGACGCCCUUCGGGGCCUCUGUGAAGGUGCUGCAUGGUUGUCGUCAGCUCGUGCCGUGAGGUGUCGGCUUAAGUGCCAUAACGAGCGCAACCCCUCUCCUUAGUUGCCAUCAGGUUAAGCUGGGCACUCUGGGGACACUGCCACCGUAAGGUGUGAGGAAGGUGGGGAUGACGUCAAAUCAGCACGGCCCUUACGUCCGGGGC